rnacentral:rRNA from 3 species
AAAUUGAAGAGUUUGAUCAUGGCUCAGAUUGAACGCUGGCGGCAGGCCUAACACAUGCAAGUCGAACGGUAACAGGAAGCAGCUUGCUGCUUCGCUGACGAGUGGCGGACGGGUGAGUAAUGUCUGGGAAACUGCCUGAUGGAGGGGGAUAACUACUGGAAACGGUGGCUAAUACCGCAUAACGUCGCAAGACCAAAGAGGGGGACCUUCGGGCCUCUUGCCAUCAGAUGUGCCCAGAUGGGAUUAGCUUGUUGGUGAGGUAACGGCUCACCAAGGCGACGAUCCCUAGCUGGUCUGAGAGGAUGACCAGCCACACUGGAACUGAGACACGGUCCAGACUCCUACGGGAGGCAGCAGUGGGGAAUAUUGCACAAUGGGCGCAAGCCUGAUGCAGCCAUGCCGCGUGUAUGAAGAAGGCCUUCGGGUUGUAAAGUACUUUCAGCGGGGAGGAAGGUGUUGUGGUUAAUAACCGCAGCAAUUGACGUUACCCGCAGAAGAAGCACCGGCUAACUCCGUGCCAGCAGCCGCGGUAAUACGGAGGGUGCAAGCGUUAAUCGGAAUUACUGGGCGUAAAGCGCACGCAGGCGGUCUGUCAAGUCGGAUGUGAAAUCCCCGGGCUCAACCUGGGAACUGCAUUCGAAACUGGCAGGCUUGAGUCUUGUAGAGGGGGGUAGAAUUCCAGGUGUAGCGGUGAAAUGCGUAGAGAUCUGGAGGAAUACCGGUGGCGAAGGCGGCCCCCUGGACAAAGACUGACGCUCAGGUGCGAAAGCGUGGGGAGCAAACAGGAUUAGAUACCCUGGUAGUCCACGCCGUAAACGAUGUCUACUUGGAGGUUGUGCCCUUGAGGCGUGGCUUCCGGAGCUAACGCGUUAAGUAGACCGCCUGGGGAGUACGGCCGCAAGGUUAAAACUCAAAUGAAUUGACGGGGGCCCGCACAAGCGGUGGAGCAUGUGGUUUAAUUCGAUGCAACGCGAAGAACCUUACCUGGUCUUGACAUCCACAGAACUUUCCAGAGAUGGAUUGGUGCCUUCGGGAACUGUGAGACAGGUGCUGCAUGGCUGUCGUCAGCUCGUGUUGUGAAAUGUUGGGUUAAGUCCCGCAACGAGCGCAACCCUUAUCCUUUGUUGCCAGCGGUCCGGCCGGGAACUCAAAGGAGACUGCCAGUGAUAAACUGGAGGAAGGUGGGGAUGACGUCAAGUCAUCAUGGCCCUUACGACCAGGGCUACACACGUGCUACAAUGGCGCAUACAAAGAGAAGCGACCUCGCGAGAGCAAGCGGACCUCAUAAAGUGCGUCGUAGUCCGGAUUGGAGUCUGCAACUCGACUCCAUGAAGUCGGAAUCGCUAGUAAUCGUGGAUCAGAAUGCCACGGUGAAUACGUUCCCGGGCCUUGUACACACCGCCCGUCACACCAUGGGAGUGGGUUGCAAAAGAAGUAGGUAGCUUAACCUUCGGGAGGGCGCUUACCACUUUGUGAUUCAUGACUGGGGUGAAGUCGUAACAAGGUAACCGUAGGGGAACCUGCGGUUGGA